rnacentral:rRNA from 1 species
UACAGAGGUCUCAAGCGUUGUUCGGAUUCAUUGGGCGUAAAGGGUGUGUAGGUGGCGCCGUAAGUCGGGUGUGAAAUUUCGGAGCUUAACUCCGAAACUGCAUUCGAUACUGCGUGCUUGAGGACUGGAGAGGAGACUGGAAUUUAUGGUGUAGCAGGUGAAAUGCGUAGAUAUCAUGAGGAAGACCAGUGGCGAAGGCGGGUCUCUGGACAGUUCCUGACGCUGAGGCACGAAGGCCAGGGGAGCAAACGGG